rnacentral:rRNA from 1 species
AGUGAACGCUGGCGGUAGGCCUAACACAUGCAAGUCGAACGGCAGCACAGUAAGAGCUUGCUCUUACGGGUGGCGAGUGGCGGACGGGUGAGGAAUACAUCGGAAUCUACUUUUUCGUGGGGGAUGACGUAGGGAAACUUACGCUAAUACCGCAUACGACCUACGGGUGAAAGCAGGGGAUCUUCGGACCUUGCGCGAUUGAAUGAGCCGAUGUCGGAUUAGCUAGUUGGCGGGGUAAAGGCCCACCAAGGCGACGAUCCGUAGCUGGUCCGAGAGGAUGUACAGCCACACUGGAACUGAGACACGGUCCAGACUCCUACGGGCGGCAGCAGUGGGGAAUAUUGGACAAUGGGCGCAAGCCUGAUCCAGCCAUACCGCGUGGGUGAAGAAGGCCUUCGGGUUGUAAAGCCCUUUUGUUGGGAAAGAAAAGCAGCAGGUUAAUACCCCGCUGUUCUGACGGUACCCAAAGAAUAAGCACCGGCUAACUUCGUG